ACCACUCGAUAUACUCUUCCUCCUUGGGGAAGAGCAUCCACAUGUCGGCGAAGAAGCGGGACAGCCAGAAGGUUGGGUACACCGGGCCAAUCACACAAGCUACCCCACCAGACCUCAACACCCUGUAUGCUUCUUUGAUCCCUCGCUGUGGGUCAGGCCAGUACUCUAUGCUGCAAGUUACCAUGACAGGGCAGGAAAAUUAUAGGAUUUAGAAGUCGCUUAGAACAACAACAUGGUCUCCAAAACACAACUAAGUACUUUUUAAGACAAAUCUAUUCAUAUGCUUUUCACCUUUGCAAACUCAACAAUUUAAAAAUUAUUAUUGAUGAUUUUAUAUUCCAAUAUUUAACCCAAACUUUGUCCAAUACGACUUCUAAUUCUAUGCGGAGAGAUUACUUGGGUAGCUGCAAUCAUCAGUUCAUCACAGCACCGUUUAUUUGGAACAUAUUCACAAUACGCACAGCAGGUAGUAUCGAGUAGCAGGGAAGAAGGGGACGAGAAGAGAGACCUGCCGGCGGAGACAUAUCGGUCGAAGGAGUCGGUAGGGAACGGGAGGUCCUCGGCGUCGCCCUCCAUGAUGGUGACCUCCUUGAGGGCCUCCUUCUGCCGUGCCUUCUGGAGCUGGUCCGGCGACUGGUCGAGCAGCGUGAUGUUCUCCGGGUCGACGUGCUUGACGAUGCCGAGCGUGGUGAACCCCGUGCCGCCGCCGACGUCGACGACCUUGAGGUGGCGGCUGUAGAGGAGGCCGGCGGGCUCCAGCGCGUCGUCGCGCAUGUCCUCGGUGUAUUGUUCCGGGUUGAAGACGCGGUCGUAGCCGAUGGAGAUGAAGCGGUAGAACCAUAAGGCCUCCUUCUUGUGCUGGAUGAAGCGCGGCGCCGUGACGGGCCUUGCCGAGGCCGGUGCCGCCGCGGGGAAGGACGACGCCGCUCGCCGCAGCCUGGCACCGUCGGUGAUGGGGCUGCUCAUCUGCUUGGAUGGAGCCACGCUCUGCUUGUGGAGAGAGGACAGUGAUCACGAGAGGAUUUUUUUUCUUUUUUUAAGAUGUAAGGUGCAGUUUAAUACCGUCCAACCACGCGCUUAAAACAAUAAAAACUCUGAGGAAAAUACGCACAUGAUGUCAAGGGUGUUGAUGCUCAAGGUAGCUGGCCCUCGACUUCGAAGCUCGUAGCUCGGGUGAUGAUUAACAAAGAGAUUAGGAAUAAGUAUAUUCUUGCUUUGCUUCAUACUCAGCUGGUUACAGGAUAUAUAAAUAGAAGUUUCCUUGGUUCAUAGGGCUUGUUUAGAUCUAAAAUUUUUUUAGAUUUUAACACUGUAGUAUUUUUGUUUUUAUUUGGCAAAUGUUGUCCAAUCAUAGACUAACUAGGCUCAAAAGAUUCAUCUUGCGAUUUACAGGCAAUUGUACAAUUAGUUUUUGUUUUUAUCUAUAUUUAAUGCUCCAUACAUGUGCCGUAAAAUUUGAUGUGAUGAGAAAUCUUGAAAAGUUUUUGGUUUUGGGAUGAACUAAGGGCAUGUACAGUCCACAGACGGGUUAUUAUCUGUAAGUUAUUAUCAUAUGAGAUAUAGACAGGUAAAUAGACAACUCAUACAGUGGACCGUCUAUUGGACUGUCUAUGAACUAUUUAAUGUGAUUACACAUCUAGGAUCCAUCGUGAAUAAGCUCUACGUGUGCUCUCUUAUUGUUUGUUUAUAACAACGAGUCAAGCAAAUAAUUUUCAUUUCAAAGGAUCAUAACAACAACACUGAAUAAAUAAGCUAACUGUAGGCAUCUGUACGUAUGUAAACACCGAACAAAACAAGCUACCUGCGGGCAUCAUUCAAGGCAUCUGUAUGUAUGUGCAACCGAACAGAACAAGCUAACUUAUUUUUGUUUUUUGAGCAUGUGUGUGUGCUCUCCGAGUACUGAACAAGCUAACUGACAAAUACGACACGGACUGAGUGUACUGAAAGUCUAAAUCAUGGCAGCGCGUGUGUGUGCUCAUGGCAGUGCCCAGCAUGACUUCCUCCGCGCACGGCCAUCCUGGAUCCGCCCAGCCGUCGACUCGUCGUACAGCGCGGCUCUCUGCAGACGAGAGCUUCUUGGGCCACGAGCCGCACUCGUCCUAUCGUGAAGCGACGAAGAGGGGUCGUCUGCUCGUGCGCAGGGUCUGUUUUGCAAAAUAAACAACAUACAGACGGGGCUUACAGCCGUGCUGUACAUGCCCUAAACAAGGCCUAUGCUCCUCCAAGCCUAGCCAUAACUACUAAUCCCCAACCAACUCUUAAAUAUUGUUGAUCCACAUGCUCCUCUACUGCUAUGCUCCUCACAGCUUUGCAUGCGCCUUUACUCAUAACUACUAAGACCAGUUUUAGUAGGAGUUUCAUUUGCAAUUAAUGAGUUGCCACAUAUUCGCUCGGUACUCGCAAAGAAAGUCAUUUAGAACAGCGAUACGGUCUCUAAAGCCUAACUUUGACUCUUUGUUUUUAUAAAAAUAUUUAUCAAAAGGUGGUAUAUGUAUAUUUUUUGAAAGUAUUUUUCAACGCAAAUCUAUUUGUAUGCUCUUCACAUUUCUAAACUCAACAACUUAAAAGUUAUUCACGAUUUAUAUUCCCAAUAUUUAACUCAAACCUUUUUCCAAAACUAUUUCUUUUAUGAGUACAGAGGGGGUAAGCACUUUUGAUGAUGGCACUUAGAUGCAUAAUCGGUGUUUGUUGCGUCUGCGAUCUAUAUGUUGUAGACUAGAGUCAGCACUGGCUUCAUGAUGAGUUCUUGGAAAAGAUGGACUAAAUGUUGUUUAGAGCUGGUGUGGCGAACUUAAUUUAGCCAAGAUGGUUGCACAAUUUCUUAAUAUAUAAUAAGCUCAUGUAGAACCACAAACCUCCAUAGCCUAGGCUGCAGAUGUUACCGCUCCUCGCGCAUGUAAUAGUUAUUUGCUAUCUUCUACUUAUUAUAUAUAAAUCAAGCCGGGAAAUUGGAUCUUUCAAAAAAAAUAGAUGAAAGUCUCUUGAUAUGAAUAUCAACUCUCUAUGAGCCAUAGAGUUAAAUGUCUAUAAAACUAUAAAAUGAAACUCUGUAUUGAAAGUGGUUGUUUCAUCCGUGUUUCAUUUCAUUCCAGAUGAUAUGACAGUCUUGAAAAUAACGCUAUAAAAUUCUCCAUUGAGACUGGUCUAAUUCUCAACCAUCUACUAAUUACUAUUGAUUGCAUUCACCCAUGGUCACCAAAGUACAGUACAACGCUAUCGAAGCCCAUCGUGACUUGUGCUCAAUUGCUCACGACAGGCUAACCACCAGCGGACUAACUGAACAUCCAUGGACGACACCGGCACGGCCAACUGAAGACCAUGGAGGACCCUCUGGUCCAGAGUUCUCUGAAGAAUACGCAGCCUGCAAGCAAGUGAUCCGUCGUCUCGACACCGUGUGCCCAGAGCGCACACAGGUUAUCAUCCUGCAGAUUGUGUCUGUGUCGCCAUUCUGCCGUCGUCCAUAGUCUGCUGUGCACUGAUAACCAAAAGAAGAAUUUGACCCUAAGAACUCGGUGGCGCUGCAGUUUUCCAGAGCUGCGCUGCCCCCUUCCAGCCUGCAGGAUCUGUAAGCACCAUUUGGUGUCUCAUGUUGGGUUUAGCCUACCCCGAUUUGCUUGGGAAAAGGCAUACUGUUGUUUUAUUGUUCUGCAACAUACUAUUUUUAAAAUGAUUACAAACUUCAGAGAUUUGAGUUGAUAUGUCUAAUAUAUAUCUCUGAAAGCAUGCAACUAGAUAUAACCCCUUAUGUGUGUAUAAUAAUAUUGCAGGCAGUUUGCUUAUGAAUAUCUGGAUCCAGCUUGUGAGUUCACCAUUCUUUAGACAGACAGCAAAAAGGAACAUGCUCUUUAGGAAUUGUAUAAAACAUUGGGGUGGUAUAUGUCCAUGCCAAAAGGAAAAAAUGACAAAAUUACUGAUUACUAGUUCAGAUCGAUACCUGGUGCACAUAUCCCGUCGACGAUUUAUACACCCACUCUAGCAACUAGCACUGGUGAUAAAAUGGUCAGUCGAUGCAAUCAUGUAAAGUGGCUCCUUCAGUAUCAUUUAAGCACAUUAUUAAGCACAAAAGAAAAAUCGGUUUCAACCAUUUGUUCUUGAUUUGCAAUUAUUUCAGUCUAGAGAUGUAGUAUUUAGUUAUUAUGCUCUAUAGAAUAAGGUUGUUUAGUUAUUAGGCAUGUGAAGAAAAUUACAUGGCUUGAAGCGUGCAAUUUCUGAUGCGUACUGGUUGGCUUCUACCUGGAACUAGAGUCAUAAUGCUUGGAGUUGGAAGUUGGAAGUUGGAACGCACACGCCCACAUCAAGGCACCUCGGACCACAUCUGACUCCAUCCGCUGCAAGCACGUCAUAGAGACAUAGACUGUGAUGUGAAUGUAACGUGAUUGAAAUUGUGAGAGAGUUGAUAAAGACGAGGUUCCUCAGUCUAUGUUGUCAUCAUUCUAUGUGUAAACAGUGUUUGAAAUUAAUUUCCGGAACAAACAUCUUCACCUUUUAACCACCCACAACAACCACAAGUAAUAUGGUAGUACCUUUAGAUAGCGAAGGCAUGAUAGCACACCACUUGGCACGAUGGCAUCAUCCAAUCCACUCAUUGCUGCACGAUGGCGUAAGGCACUGGUGGCUGCGGCGGAGCAUUGGGUUCGGGUGUUCACUGUUCAGUGGAGGGCAGAGCAGGGGAGGAGCGCGUGCAAUUGCAAGGGAAGUGCUUCAGGAGCUCGAAGACGACGCACGAGCACGAGUACGAGGAGGCAUAUGACGCAUGAACACACGGGCACGCGCCGAGAAACCUAGCUCGCCGCCGCCACCGCCGUUGUGAUUUUCCGCACCGUCCACCUCGUAUCCGUCCUCCGCCGUUGAUGUUGAACGUGGUACACUUAAAAGAUGCGGACUAAGGGCACUCACAAUGCAGACUCUAUCAUAAAGUCUAAAGUUAUUUAUUACCUCGAACAAUGUGGACUCUAAAUAAAACUUGAAGUCUUAUUUUUUCUACCUCUUUUUACAAUAAAUAUGCUACCACAUCAGUAAAAUACCAUAAAUAAUAUGUAAUUAAUUGUCUUGGACUCUGUGAUAGAGUCUUGCAUUGUGAGGGCACUCACAAUGCAGACUCUAUCAUAGAGUCUAAAGUUAUUUAUUACCUCGAACAAUGUGGACUUAGAGUCUAAAUAAGACUUGGAGUCUUAUUUUUUCUAUCUCUUUCUUCAAUAAAUAUGCUACCACAUCAGCAAAAUACCAUAAAUAAUAUGUAAUUAAUUGUCUUGGACUCUGUGAUAGAGUCUUACAUUAUGAGCGCCCUGAGUGCCCUAAGGGCACUCACAAUGCAGACUCUAUCAUAGAGUCUAAAGUCAUUUAUUACCUCGAACAAUGUGGACUUAGAGUCUAAAUAAGACUUGAAGUCUUAUUUUUUCUACCUCUUUCUUCAAUAAAUAUGCUGCCACAUCAGCAAAAUACCAUAAAUAAUGUAUAAUUAAUUGUCUUGGACUCUAUGACAGAGUCUUGCAUUGUGAAUGCCCUAAGGCUAGUCUCAAUUCAUGUUUUAUGAGAGUGUCAUGCACAUUAAAUAGGGUGCCACACAUAAGCAAAUUUGCUGACUUGGCAGGGUCAUUAGAUGAGAGAGGAGUUUCAUCUCUAUCUAGUUUAUAGUCUUGGUAACUGUGCCAUGAAACUUUACAUUGAGACCGGUCUAACUACUUGAAUCUGUGAAAGUUAAUCUCACAUAUUUUCCUUUUAUAGUUAGAAUUUGUGCAUAUGUAGAAAGUUACUUAAUGUGGCCUAUAGUGACAAUACACUAGUGAUUCUACUAAUUUACGAGAUUACUGCAACUCCUAGUAAUUCACUAUAUAAGCUAUAACAUUGUGAUAAAUAUCAUCAUUAAUUAUAGUAACACAUGUACAUAAACAUAAAUAUGUAACCAUUUCAUCGUAAGUAAAUAUCUAUAUUAUUAUAAAUCGAGAUGGUUAUAGAAUAAAUUAUUAUUCUAAAUAAAUACCAAUAUUUUAAAUAGCGCGCUAUUUUCACGCUAUAGCGCCGCUAUAGCGGCCAGAAUAAGUCGACGCGAAGCUAUACCUGAUUUUUAUGCUAUCAGCGCUAUUAGCGCUAUAGCGCCGCUAAACUGAAAUAGCGCCAUAGUGCCGCUAUUUGCGCGCUAUUGCUGUUUAUCUACUGAUAAGAAAAAAAGGCGGUUAUGCACUUAUUUGUUGUGCAGUGCUUAUGCACUUGUGGUUAUGCACUAUGCAGUCAUGCAUUAUGCUUAUGAGUUAUGUAUUAAACUGUGAAACACCUGUGAUUUGUGAUUGUGAAAUAUGAUGGUUGUUUGAACUUGUUGCUGUCUAUUAUAUAGUUUGCCUGUUUCUAAAUAAAUAGCGCACUAUAGCGUGGAUAGCUACAGCACGUUGUUGUGUACAACAGCCGCUAUAGCAGGGCUAUAUCGCCGCUAUAACGUUCGCUAUAGCGCAAAUAGCGUCUGGGAUAGAAGACGCUAUUUUCUAUGCCCGUUAUUUAAAACAUUAAUAAAUACCUAUGUUAUCUUAAAUCAAGAUGGUUAUAUAAUAAAUUAUUCUAUGAUCGAAACAAGAUGGCUAAUAUCAGUGGGGGGUUUCUUAGGAGUUUCGUGAGUAUUGCAUGAGAUGAUAUAUAAAGAUAGAUGUUAAAAGUUUUCUAUGAAAAGAAAUGAGCUGAUAUAUAUGGCAUAUUAUAUAUAGAUAAAGAGAGUUAAAAGUUUUAUAUAAAAUGAAAUGAGUUUGGUGAAGACCAAAUUUAUCUAUACUGGUAUUUUACACAUACGAGAGUUGUAAUGGUUUCAAAUAGCGGGCUAUAGCUUCCGCUAUAGCCGGAUUUAGCGGACUUGCAAGGCCAGCGCUGGGAGAGUUCCCUUUUAGCGCUAACUGAUCUUGGCUGCUAACAGCGGCGAUUAACGCGCUAGAAACGCCAAACGGGAAUGAUUUAGCGCCGCUAAGCAGUUUCUGGUGGAGUGGUGGGCCGAAAUCAGAGUGGGCUUCCUGUAUUUUUCAUCAGCCGGAAGCCCAAAACAGCAUCAGCGGCCCAAAAUGCCACCUGAACCUACGAUUCCCUAAUCUCAGCGUGGCCCAAAAGCAAGCCCGCGAUGGGAGCACUUGACACUUGACAGUCGACACCCUGUAGGCUGCACCAAUCAGAGCGCUUCUUUCACAAAUUUGUGACGUGUAUAUUUCACAAAACCGCUAAAGACCUGUUCGUUUAGACAAGGAUUGGCCUGGGAAUCGUUCCUGCUGCUGAUAGCUUAUAUAAAUAUGACAAAUAAUCAGGUUUGAAAUAAUUUCAGGCCAUAGUUUCCCUUCAAACGAACCAGCCCUAAAUGAGUUAGCGGACGCUAUAUUCGGCUAUAGCGUUUCUAGCUUCUGCAGAAACUUACCGCUAAGUGCCUUAGCCGGCGAUUUUAAACUUUUUUCAUAAAUUUGUGACCUAUAUUUCACAAAACUGCUAAAUGAGUUAGCGGACACUAUGUCCGACUAUAACGUUUCUAGCGUCUGUAGAAACUUACCGCUAAGUACCUUAGCAUCUGCAAAAUACUAUUAUAGUACUUUUAUUUGUAUUUGACAAUUAUUACUUAAUUAUAGACUAAUUAGGUUUAAAAAAUUCGUCUCGUAAAUUACAUAAGAACUAUGUAAUUAGUUUUUUUAUCUAUAUUUAGUGUUUUAUACAUAUGCCGCAAAAUUCGAUGUGACGAAAAAUCUUAAACAAUUUGUAAAUUUUUUCAGAAAAUAAACGAGUCACCAGGCCUAUACCAAAUAGUUCCUUACCGUGCAGCGACUGUAGUCCACUCCUUCCCAUAAAGUCAGGCAGUGAGGGGGCUAUUGAAUGCGGUCUCUUAAGCGCGCCUCACAUGCAGCUGAGUAGAAGCUUCUCUCUCUCUCUCUAGCUCGCUCUCUCCCUCUCCUGCAUCCUAUUCCUAGCGCCAUCCAUCACACGAACACAUACGGCGCAAUUAAGUGCUACGUGUUAUCGCCGCUGAAGAAGGGACCUUAUCAAUCAGCUAAUAAUUCAUCCAAACAAACAAAACAAUCACCAACCUGCUUAUAUCUCUGCUACAUACGGAGUAAUGCACCUAGCUAGCACACCCACCUAACCGCGCUGCCUUCUUUCUUCAAGCUCGUUGCGACCGAUCUUGAGUGGCCGGCCGGGCAGCCGCGCGCAGCACCGGCGGCAACAAUGUCGUCGUCAUUAUUCCAGAUGAGGUCGUACUUCUUCUUGCCGUGCUUGAUGAUCUUGUUAUUCUUGCUGCUCGUCGUCGUCGGAGGUGCGGUGGUGGCCGGGGAGAAGAAGAAGAAGACGAAGGUGCCGGCGAUCAUCGUGUUCGGCGACUCUUCCGUGGACACGGGCAACAACAACUUCAUCCCGACCAUCGCCCGGAGCAACUUCUGGCCCUACGGCCGCGACUACGCCGAUGGCCUCCCCACGGGCCGGUUUUCCAAUGGACGCCUCGCUACCGACUUCAUCUCCGAGGCCUUCGGCCUUCCCCCCUCCAUCCCCGCCUACCUCGACAAGACCUGCACCAUCGACCAGCUCUCCACUGGAGUCUCCUUCGCCUCCGCUGCCACUGGCCUCGACAACGCCACCGCCGGCGUCUUGGUAAUUAUAUUCCUUCCUUCCUCCUUCUUCUAGCUCUAGCUCUAGCUUUAUUUCUCCUCGAUCGAUCCAUCGGUGAUCGAAAAUGGCCGGCAUGUCUGAUCGAAAAAUGGCCGCCGGCCGGCAGUCCGUGAUCACACUGGAUGAGCAGCUGGCCUACUUCAAGGAGUACACGGACCGGCUGAAGAUCGCCAAGGGCGAGGCGGCGGCGAAGGAGAUCAUCGGCGAAGCGCUCUACAUCUGGAGCAUCGGCACCAACGACUUCAUCGAGAACUACUACAACCUGCCGGAGCGGUGGAUGCAGUACAGCGUGGGAGAGUACGAGGCCUACCUGCUGGGGCUCGCCGAGGCAGCCAUCCGCCGCGUGCACGAGCUCGGCGGCCGGAAGAUGGACUUCACGGGGCUCACGCCCAUGGGCUGCCUCCCCGCCGAGCGGAUCAUCGGCGACCCCGGCGAGUGCAACGAGCAGUACAACGCUGUUGCCAGGACCUUCAACGCCAAGCUGCAGGAGCUCGUCGUCAAGCUCAACCAGGAGCUCCCGGGACUGCAGCUCGUCUUCGCCGACACGUACCAGCUCCUUGCCAACGUCGUCAACAAGCCGGCCGACUAUGGUGAGCAGCAACCCCCAUGCACCGCGCGGUGUCUUUCUACUUUAUUAACAUCUUAUACUAGUUUAAAAUUGGCCGUUUGGGAUGACCAUAAUUAAUUGCAAACUUAGAAACGGGGAAUAACUAUUUGUCCUCGUUUGUAAAACUCAUCCGACAAACAUAAGGGAUAAGGCUCCGCUGCCUAAACCCACCUACAAACCCACAACUACAAAAUAUCUCACACACAUAACAUAACAAUAGAAUUAAUGCAUCGUUCUAGCGCACUUAGAUAAAGAUGAGCAGGGUGCCCAGCUCGGCAUGGCACGACAGGGCAUGGUGUGCUACCAGGUCGUGCCUCCUUGGGUAUCAUGCCUGGUCAACGGCCCAGCAUGGCCCUUCUCGAGCCAAUUUUCCGACCAUGCCAGCCCGAAAAGCAUGGGCCCAAAAACUCAUCGGACUAGCCUAGAGCCUGUGAAUGCUAAGAGAAAGAGGGGGGAAGGGGAGGCCGCGAGAGGUGGCAGCUGCUGCUGGCGCGCGUGCGCCUCGCGCUUGCCCCGGAGGACCAACAACAUGUCAUAGCCAUGGAGGACGAGGCUGGAAGCCAAAUCUAUGAGGGGGCUUCGAGGAGGCGACCAGCCAUGGAGGAGCGUCACCGCUCGCGUCGCAGAGGAUUCGAGAAGGCCGCUGGUAGCAGGAGGUGGCGAUGACCGCCAAUGAACUCGCCCUUAGGUCCGUCGAAGCAUUAGGAGAGGGAGGAGGCGCUCGCUCUCGCCCGUCGACACUGCAAGGAGAGCCCGCGCAAGGAAGUGGAGGGGGUGUCCGUGUUGCGCGCAUGUGAGGUAAGGAAGGGGCAGCUGUCGUGCUAUGGCUCACGCGACACGAGGGAAAGGGAAGGUCGGAGGGGGCAUCCACACUACAGGGGAAGGCCUCACCCUCGCGUAAAAGGCGGUGGCUAUUGUAUACAAAGGAGGGAGAGUGGGGAUGGUAGAUUAGAGUUCCUAGGCAUCGUCGGCUGGUAGCGAGCCUCUCCCACUAACUUGCGGGUUGUGUCAUGCCACCCGGUGUUGUGCAUCGGGUUGGGCCAGCCUAGGCCCACACAAUGCUGGGUCGUGCCAUGCUUGGGCCGGGCCAAAAAAACAUGCUUUGGACUAGCUAGGCCAUUGGGCCGCGGGCUACAUGUUCAUCUUUACACAUAGACCAGUGGUACUGGUAAGAAAAAGGGGCCGCGAGAGGUGGUGGAAGUUGUCGGCGUGUGCCUCACGCUAGGACCAUCAACAGGUCGUAGCCAUGGAGGACGACGCUGGAAGCCGAAUCUGUGAGGGGCUUCAAGGAGGCGACCAAUCACCGUGGCAGAGUAGCCAAGGAGGAGCACAACCGCUCGUGUUGCAGAGGAUUCGAGAAGGCCGCCGGUAGCAGGAGGUGGUGGCGGCUGCCAGUGAACUUGACCUUGGAUCCAUCGGGGCGGGAGGAGGCGCUCGCCCUCGCCCAUCGACGUUGCAAGGAGAGCCCGUGCGAGGGAAGGGGAGGGGCGUCCGAAGAUGUUUCUCUAGAUCUCUUCUCCCUUUAGGCCAAAAUAAGUUAUCAUCUAGUACCAACUCCAUUUUCUUGGCACCAAAGUAUGAAAUGAAAUUAAAGAACAAUCUAGCUAGAAUGAAGAGUUUAGUAGCUUGAAAUAAAAACCCAUAAUGCAAAUAGUAUUUUUUCCAUCCCUUGCCAUCUCUUUGAAAAUGGUUGAGAAAUAUAUGGAAUCAGUAGCAUACAAGUCUUUGACACCUUACAACUCAAACAUUUUAGCAACAAGCUAUGACAACAAAGCAUAGCAUCAAGACAAAGCAACAACUAUAAACAUUGUAAGGGAAAGAAAGACAAUGAAUUCACUCCACUUUACAUGUGUUUAGUGCAGUUUUAGUUGGCUUUUAAGAUGUUUCAAAUAUUCAUAGUUUGAACGUAUCAUAAAUUCAUUAUGGAAAAAAGGUAGUGACUUAUAUGUUGAGAUAGAACUUGUAGUGAGGAUCAGCUUUAUAAGAGAUAUACAUAUAGAUAUAGAUGUUGAUGUAUAUGCUGCAAAAAUUACAAAAAUAACUAUUAAUUAUUUUUUAAUCCUAUGUAUAUAUGCAGCAUGUGCAAAGAGUUCUAAUCAUUAGUUUCAUUUUUUAAAUUAUCGGUUGCACAGGAUUUGACAAUGCUGUGCAAGGUUGUUGCGGUACGGGGCUUUUUGAGGCAGGUUACUUUUGCAGCUUCAGCACCUCAACGCUAUGUGAAAAUGCCAACAAGUAUGUGUUCUUUGACGCAAUCCAUCCCACAGAGAAGAUGUACAAAUUGCUCGCUGAUACAGUCAUCAACACCACGUUGCAUGUAUUCAUGUGAAAUUAUUGAUCUUCUUAGUGGAAAAGAAUCAUAGAUUGGUCUACAAUGCACAUAGACACCUUCUCCACAGACAACUUUGAAUGUUGAAACUAUAUCAUAUCCAGUUAUUGCAGCACGUGUGCUAUAAAUCUUGUAUUCCAGAUCAAUGUUGUAAUCACGAAUAGCAGUAUAUGCAUACAUAGUGUUUCUGUGUUGUGGCAUAUGACCAAUAGGUAGCAUUGUUGGUAAAAGUGUUGGAUUCGGCAGUGAAGGUGAUAAUGCUUCAUAAUGACCGUUGGAUGAUCCGGUGAUGAUGAGAUCUUCAUCACCAGUUCACCACAUGGUCAAGUGUUUGAUUCGGCAGUCGUGACCACGAGAGAACAGCCCUCCGGCCCAUCUGUAUUCUGGGCUAGCCCAUCGUGAGCAAGACCCAUCGCUGUGGGCUUGGGCCAACUAGGCCAAUAAUAGGUUCUUUCUUUCAAUCGUUGGAGGUUCUUCUUCUCAAGUUCCCGCCGCCCUCAACGACCAAGAGUAGUGAACAGCACUGUGCGAGUAAUUGUCUGAGCCUUUGCGCACCUAUCUUUUCUUCUUGUCACGGUGGUAGCCACAGAAUGAUGCAAGACAAAACAAAACAAAACAAAACAAAACAAAACAAAACAAAACAAAACAAAACAAAGCAAAGCAAAGCAAAGCAAAGCAAAGCAAAGAAGAGUACAACAGCGAAGAUAAGUGGUAGUAGAUGGGCGCUUAUCUCUGUCGUUGCUGCUACUGUGCUACAGGUUUGUAAUUGUAAUUGUAACUUUGGUUCAGCACGCUCCAGCUUCAGGUGCCAAACAAAGAUGUGGACUGUGGUAUCAGAACUCGAGAACGAAACACUCCCCAACCACCAAGGAAACAUGGAACCGGACUCCCUUCACUUCUCAAACACAGCCGGAUGAGAACUGCAUGAGAACAGAAGAUCAACGAGUCAAAUCAUCCUAAUAAUAAACAAAUAAACAUGCGACGGCUUCAGGCCUGAAAACAUACUUAUCCAAAGACAAAAUGGUCAUCAAACAUGAUUAUCUUUCACCAUUGCUGGUGACUAAGCUGUCUCAACUUUCCAAGCCAAUCCUUCAUUGCUUAUUUGAUCAUGUGUAUGUUAUUGUGCAGAAAUUCAAACUCCUCGAGAACAUUAAGCAUGCUUUCAUACUUGCUACCAGAUGCAAAGACAUAGAACAAGGUUUGUCUGUAAUGAUAUGAGUGGGAGCUCAAAACUGGAGAUAGCAUUUCCAGAUUUAACAAACCAAUAAGAGUUACCCUUUGCAAUUUCAGAGAAGCUCCUUAACCAGAUAAGGUUUUGAUUUAAUAACAAACCAAUAAGUGUCACCCUUUGCAAUUUCAGAGGAGCUUCUUAACCAGAUACGGGUUUGACAUCUGUAUAUUCAAAUAUCUUACCGGACCAUUUUCAACUUUGAACAGUACAACAUUAUACAGUUAUAUAAGUCCAGUCAAAGUCUUUAGCUUAAUGCUAACUCAACUAUAUUAGUUAAUUACCAACGUCAAAACUAGCAGCAGAUCCAUCGAUUUCAAUGCAUCAGCAGCAGUUUUCAUACAUCUGAAAGGGAUAGCCUAGUCAAAUAUGUGCAAGCACAUUAUAACCUACAACUGUUUCCAUAUAACAUCUAGCCCAGCAUGGUACACAUCAGAGCACCGGCUUAGCUAGGUAGUUAGAAAGACAACACAUUAGCAAGCAACCAUCAUACCUCUCUAGCCAUGGAAGAAGCAUUAAUCCUCCUGGUUCUCAUCACCUUCAUGGUGACAGUGCCAGACACCUCUUCUGGGCUUGCCAUAUCAUUGCCAGGGUGCCCUGACAAGUGUGGUAAUGUGUCCAUCCCUUACCCCUUUGGCAUCGGUGAUGGCUGUGCUGCAGGCAACCUGAACCGCUACUUUGCUGUGACCUGCAAGGACAGUUUCCAGCCACCAAGGCCUAUGAUUGGUGACCCUUCCAGUGCUGUAGAGGUCAUCGACAUCUCCCUGGAGCAUGGUGAGGUGCGUGUUUACGGCGAUGUCAGCUACUACUGCUUUACGUCAAACACCACCAUAUCAGACAACAACACUGCCGGAUUCAGCCUUGAGAACACACCAUUCAUCCCCUCCACCCGCAACCGCUUCAUGGCCAUCGGCUGCAAUACCCUGGGGCUCAUUGGCGGCAACACACACACAGCAACUCAGACAUUUAUGUGACUGGCUGCUACUCAUAUUGCCAAGGCAUCAACAGUACAUCUGACGGAGCACCAUGCACUGGGAUGGGAUGCUGUGAGACCACCAUAUCCCCCAACCUCACCAACUUCGCAGCACUACUGUACAACCAGAGCAGCGUGUGGAGUUUCAAUCCAUGCUUCUAUUCGAUGGUUGUUGAGGACGGGUGGUACAGCUUCAGGAGGCAGGACCUUGUCGGGCAUCUUGGGUUCAUAAAGGAAAGAGCAAAGAGAGGUGUUCCGGUUGUCGGUGACUGGGCCAUUAGAAACGGAUCCUGUCCAAAAGAUGGGGCAAAAGCACCUAAAGACUAUGCUUGUGUCAGUACCAACAGCUACUGUGUGAGUGCAAGCAAUGGGCCAGGGUACCUUUGCAACUGCUCUCAAGGUUACGAGGGAAAUCCUUAUCUUUCCGGAGGCUGCCAAGGUAUUGUUUGUUCAAAUGAACUCGCUGUUUAGAGUUUAGGAAUAAGAACAGCAACUGUAGGAACAAUUUUAGCCGGCGUGUGGUGAAAGCCAACUCUUUAAUUGAAGGCAAAACUUAAGAUUUUUUUUUGUUACUUGUCCAAGUUUUUUUUAACUUCAUAUAAUGAAUUAAAUUGUAUUUUGGUUUUCUUUUUCCUUGUUAAAUCCAUGUUAGCCUGUUUUCUUAAUAUUUCCCUACAGACAUAGAUGAGUGCAAGCUCCGUAAGCAGGACCUGAAGUACAAAGAAUUAUAUCCAUGUGAAAAUGGGGUCUGUCACAAUACACAAGGAGGCUAUAUAUGCAAGUGCAGGAUAGGAACAAGAUCAGAUGGUACAAAUUCUGGAUGCCAGCCUGUGCUUCGCCAAGCUGAACAGGUGGCCAUAGGUAAGGAUAAUACUUGAGAAUAGACUUGAACAAUGUAACAUGUCUUUCUAGGAUUCUGAGGCAUCUAAUCAGAAGAAAAAACAUUGUGCAGGCCUCUGUGCAGGUGCAGUUGUGGUGGUAUCUUUGACGUGCUUAUUGGUUAUGAAGUUACAACGGAACAAGCAUAGGAGGGAGAAGGAUGAUUAUUUCAAACAAAAUGGAGGUCUCAAAUUAUAUGAUGAGAUGAGAUCAAGGCAAGUUGACACCAUUCAUAUACUUACAGAGAAAGAGAUAAAGAAAGCCACAGAUAAUUUUAGUGAAGGUCAUGUUCUUGGAUGUGGUGGCCAUGGCAUGGUCUAUAGAGGAACUUUACAUGACAACAAAGAAGUUGCCAUAAAGAAGUCCAAAAUAAUAAAUGAUGACAGCAGAGAAGAAUUUGUCAAUGAGAUAAUAGUCCUGUCACAAAUUAACCACAGGAACAUUGUGAGGUUACUAGGAUGCUGCUUGGAGGUAGAUGUGCCGAUGUUGGUGUAUGAGUUCAUUUCCAACGGUACGCUCUUUGAGUUUCUUCAUGGAACUGAUGCCAGAAUACCAAUACCAUUGGAUCUAAGAUUGAAUAUUGCUACACAGUCAGCAGAAGCUCUUGCCUACAUUCAUUCAUCAACUUCUCGCACAAUUCUGCAUGGAGAUGUCAAAUCCCUAAAUAUACUCUUGGAUAACGAAUACAAUGCAAAAGUGUCAGAUUUUGGAGCAUCAGCACUGAAGCCCAUGGACAAAAACGAUUUCAUUAUGCUUAUCCAAGGAACUCUUGGUUAUAUCGACCCUGAGAGUUUUGUCAGUCACCGCUUAACUGAUAAAAGUGAUGUAUACAGCUUUGGGGUUGUUCUUUUGGAGAUAAUGACAAGAAAGAAAGCCAUAUAUAUUGAUUCUUCUAACGAACAAAAAGCACUAUCCUAUACUUUCAUACUAAUGAUCGACCAGAAUAAGCUCCGGGAUAUAUUGGACACUGAAAUAGUUGAUGAUGAAGUUAUGAUAGUACUCGAGAAACUAGCUCAGCUCGUCAUGCACUGCCUGAGCCCAAAAGGAGAUGAAAGGCCAACAAUGAAGGAAGUUGCAGAGCGACUACAAAUGUUAAGAAGACUUCAGACACAGCUUGUCACCAAGGCCAACCCUAUUCAAGAACAUUAUUCUUAUCGAGUACCAUUAGUUUCUGUGCCUUCAGAUGAGACUGGAAUGUUAGAGGACUGAGACAGACAAACUGGUGUUGGGGGUAGAUCUUGGAAGAUAAAUAUGUGAAAUGCCGAUCUUUUAUACUUUGCCUUUUUUCUCUUAAAUCAAAUGAAGCACAACUCUCCUGCUUAUUCAAGAAAAAACAAAUUCGACACUUUGUACUGCAAGUUCAUUGUGUGAUUCUUAAUAUACAACUAUAUAUUGUAAAUAACUGUCAGCACUAAUUGCAUCUGUAUUUCGAUUUUAAACUUUAUUUGGGUGUCAGAUUAAACUGUUAACAUAUCAAAGAGCUCCAGCUUUUCCUUACACAAUCAUUAUAUAGUCUUUGUCCAGAACCAGGAUUUUGACAUACUGGAUUAUGAUAGAUAGACUGUAUGGCACUGAGUUGAUGUAGAUCUACUAAUCAAAUCCAUGCUACAAUACUACAUCAAUACCUACCAUCAUAUCUGUUAAUGUUGAUAACUUAUAGUUCAUUUGCUAUGCAAUACCCCAUACUACCAAGAGUGGAAAAAAGAAAGUAAGAAACAAGUACAAAGACAAACAAAUGGAAGAGAACAUUUUGAACUGUGGUUCAACUUCAACAAACAGAUUAAACAACAUACCUUGUCAUCAUAAAAAAAAUUAUCUUGCCACAGAACCAAAUCCAUUAGAUAUGCAAUCAGGACCUAACAUUAGGCUAUCCAUUCCCUGCACAUACAAUUUACAGCGCAUGAGCAUGGUUAUCUUUCAGAGAUCUUAAUUAAACUGUGGAAGGCAAAUAUAGUAAUCAGAAUGCACUAGUUUCAAGCAGGAUCAGCAAAGACAGCAUUAAUCACAUAGAAAUAUGUAUUUGCAUAAGAGUGGGUGCAUUGAUGCACCUAGAGUGUCUCACAGGAAGGCCUAAUUUACAAGCGGUUCUUUUCAAUGUUCCAUUUUAUGGUCCAUCCCAUCGACCCAUUCCACCGAGCAAAUGCACUUUCAGAGGAAGCUUUAACAGCAUCAGGUCUCAGAACAUCAUUGCAUUAGCAUGAAGCAAAACUGUAUCAUAGAGGGGGAAAACGAAAUAACUGCUUGAAUUGUGUAUAGAACUAAACACCUGACUGUUUACAUGAAUGUAUCUAGCCAUGUACAGAAAAUAUGUAAGAAUACACUGAUAGUUCGUAGAAAUAUUACACAGCCAAAUUUGUUCAAAACAUAGCACCUUAAUAAAACGACAAACUAUGGGUUGAGUUGUUAGAGAAAUUUUGGUUUUACAUGCACAUAUGCCAUGCAACAGAACCUUUAAACUAAAAAAAAAGGACUCCAAAUCAGGUAUCAUCCCAAUAAGACAUGCCCUUUAUGCAGAGCUAUCAGAUACUAUCUCGCUGUACUACUUAGCAUAACAAUAACACCACCACCAAAGCCUUCUAAUUAUAAGCAAGUUGGGGAAAGCUAGAGAUGAAACCCAACAAGGGUAACAAAGAUACAGCAUAGAGUAACAAAACAAGUCUUAUAAAUCGUACUGAUGAUAAGAAGAAGGAAUUUUGCAGAGCCAGGAACCAACUAAACUAUACAUUUUACGUUCAUAUAAUUUAACCAACUAAAUUAUACAUCAUAUAAUUUAAAUCCAAUAACCUGCUACAAAGGUCCCACUGAAAGCAGUCAUGCUCAAGAAACUGGAGAAUAUCCAUGUCUUAAUAUUAUUAAUUCGCACAAACAGGAGCAGUACAAGAAGUACAUAGCAGCAGGAAAACAAGAGGUAAUAAUACAAAACAGACAGGAAGCGCCUAAUAUAGAGAAGACUAAUUCAGAUGUUUGGCUAUCCUCUCUUCAAUGCAGCUCAUUCCCUUUCACUCAAAUUGGCAUGCCUUUUGGCACGAUCUGGUCCUUUAUCCACAUGUAAAUAGGCACCAGAACAUAGUACGCAGCACAUAUUGUUCCUACGAGGAAGCGAAAGAAGAAGGUGAUCGGAUUCACUGGCUUGCUGACAUCCUCCGCCUUGGGACCAAGCUGCAUAAAAAAAUAAAAUGGAAAACUUAUACCAAAACCCCUGAAUGCCUGCCUACUGCAGGUACAGCAGGAAAUGAACAAAAUCUAAAGCCUCAACGAGAUGUGCCAAAAACGCAUUGAGAUGUGUAACUAUGAAUCAGAUAGCUACGCUUUCCAUUAGCAAAAAUGAAAGGGAAAGGUACCUCUAAGGGAGAGUCUCCGCUCUGUCUCUUGACGCCUGUGACAGAGCAACCCAUGAUGAGGCCAUGCCUUCGGACACCGCGGUACCACUUUGGUCCGAUCCUUUUCAGCUUGACAUCCUUAAACCCGGCCUUGGUGAACCACUCGAUGUACUCUUCCUCCUUGGGGAAGAGCAUCCACAUGUCGGCGAAGAAGCGGGACAGCCAGAAGGUUGGGUACACUGGGCCAAUCACACAAGCUAGCCCACCAAACCUCAACACCCUGUAGGCUUCCUUGAUCCCCCGCUGUGGGUCUGGCCAGUACUCGAUGCUGCAAGGUAUCAUCACAGGGGCAGGGAAAUCAGCAAUCCGUAGUGCAGUACUUGGGUAGCUGUUAUACUAAUGGAACUCGCAAUCCAUCACAACACCGUUAAUUUGGAACAUGGAACAUAUUCACGAUAUGCACAGUAGUGAAGUGAACUACUCAAGUGAAGUGAAGUGAAUCGAGGAGUAGGGGGGGAAGAACGACUCGAG
rnacentral:lncRNA from 1 species